rnacentral:rRNA from 1 species
CUCGUAGGCGGCCAACUAAGUCAGACGUGAAAUCCCUCGGCUUAACCGGGGAACUGCAUCUGAUACUGGAUGGCUUGAGUUCGGGAGAGGGAUGUGGAAUUCCAGGUGUAGCGGUGAAAUGCGUAGAUAUCUGGAGGAACACCGGUGGCGAAGGCGGCAUCCUGGACCGACACUGACGCUGAGGAGCGAAAGCCAGGGAGCAAACG